rnacentral:lncRNA from 1 species
AUGGAUUUUUUGAGCUAUUCUGAGUGUUUACAUAGUCAGACGUUUACUCAUUCUGGUCACAAAAAGGUUUUAUUUAUUUAUUUUUUUCUUUCUGGAAUUAGAAAGGUAUUCAUGGUCUCUCAAACAACUGGAGAAGUAAAACUUAGCAUUCCAGCAUCAGGAAUAAGAAAGAUGACCCAACACAACAAAGCACCAGGUGACAUGAUGAGGAAGCUCAAGACGGAUGCAGUUGUUAUAUAUUUGGUGUCUUGACUAUGCCUGCCAGAGCCUUUAAAGUCAGCUGUAAGAACCAAAACUUUCUGUGAACUUUGCGAGACAUCCUCCAGGAGAAAACCUACAACCAGGUAAGAAUCACUGGCUGGAUGUUUGUGUCCAUAUCUUAGCAUCUUUUUCUUGCAAGAUUUAGGACAGUAUCUGCUAGAAUAAAUAUUUGUAGAAGGACUGAAUAAAUCA